rnacentral:snRNA from 1 species
CGGGCGAGAGACCGAUAG